CUGAGAUGACGCCACUUGCUCCUAAUCUGCGUAAGAUGAGCCCAGGGUGUAGGCCUCGUUUCCUGGAGGACCCAAGAGCACUGGACUGUGAAGACACAGCAAGAAGUCAGCUGCCUGAGACCCUGGGAGGGCCCUCACCUGACCAUGCUGGUACCCUGAUCUUGGACUUCUGACCUGCAGAACUAAGCAGGUCUCCUGCCCGGUAGCAGGAGUUAGUCUGAUGGACACAUGGGGCCUGUCGAGAAGGGUGCUGAAGCCUCUCACUGUCAUGGCCUCUCCCGUUGCGGAGCACAGGCUCCGGACGCGCAGGCUCAGCGGCCAUGGCUCACGGGCCCAGCCGCUCCGCGGCCUGUGGGAUCUUCCCGGACUGGGGCACGAACCCGCGUCCCCUGCAUCGGCAGGCGGACUCCCAACCACUGCGCCACCAGGGAAGCCCUGCUGUGAACAUUUUUGGACACGUGUUUUGCAAUUCAAAGGACAUCAUGCUGGGUCCCAGCUGACACCUCAAGAUCCUCACGGAGCGAAGCUUGAAGACGAGGACUCCUGUUGCAGGAGGAAAGCUGGGCUGGGACUGAAAGGCCCUGCUGGCGCUGCUCAGAGACUCCUCCACCGUGGGCACUGCCUGCUUGGGUACCAGGCACUGAGCUAGGCGCUCUGUGUUCUUACUGCGUUUAUUCCUCCCACCACCCUUGCAAAAUAGAUGCUCUUAUAAGCUUUUCUAGGACGCCUCUGAGAGUGAGAGGGGGCUCUGCGGACAAUGAGGCUAGGACAACAGACAUAAAAUGGGACUGUCCCAGGCAAGUCGGGGCGUCUGAUCACCCCACCCUGGUCAGAAGCACACCCUCCCCGUCGUGGCCGCCAGAACCAUCUCUGGGAGGCGUCCCAUUAAGGAAAUGAGAACCCCGUUAGCACACGGCAUGGGAGAGUAAGUGAUCAAGAAACGUGCGAUCAAUAAACAAGUACCAGCUACACGUGGUGGUGGUAAUCACCUGUUUGCUCUAGCUCUGGGGGCCCUGUUGCAGCCGGGCGUCGGGGAAGCGGCAUCUAAAUCUCCCUGUGAAGCAGGAAGGAGGACUCUGGCUCUGGAGCCUGGCACGCAGCAGGAGCGCGGGCCUUGGGGCCGAUAGAGCAGACCCACACAUCGGCCAGUGAUUAACCGAGACGUCCCCCUCCGGCCAUUUUGGGUCUUGCUGCGCCGUCUGGAAAGAAAAGCAUCCCACCAGCAAGAGGACGACAUUUUGACACGGUGCCUCUUCCCGCCGGUUUUCAGGAUUCAGGAUGCCACCUCCUCCAGAAAGUCUUUCCAGAUGCUUCCUCUCUGUCCCUCAUCUGAGC